rnacentral:rRNA from 1 species
CACGGAAGGGGCAAGCCUAGAGCGAUUUGACUAGGCGUACAGAGUGUCUGAGCGCAGUGGUGGCUAUAUAGGCUAAAAAGCCUAUCUCUAAAUGCAGGGCAACAGUUGGAGUAUCGGUCAAAUGAUUACAUGCCAGCUGGAAAGCCGACGGCGCAGGCGCCUGCAGCAGAGCCACCGAAGCUUCAACACGGAAGCUGGAGUAGCGAAACGG